AACGAACGCUGGCGGCAUGCCUAACACAUGCAAGUCGAACGAGACCUUCGGGUCUAGUUGCGCUCGGGUGCGUCACGCGUGGGAACCUGCCCUUAGGUUCGGAAUACCUCCCCGACAGGGGUGCUAAUACCGGAUAAUGUCUUCGGACCAAAGAUUUAUCGCCUUUGGAUGGGCCCGCGUUGGAUUCGCGAGUUGGUAGGGGAAGAGCCUACCAAGGCGACGAUCCAUAGCUGGUCUGAGAGGAUGAGCAGCCACACUUAGGCUAAGACACGGCCCAGAAUCCUACGGAAUGGAGGAGUGGGGAAUAUUGGACAAGGGGGGAAGGGCUGAACCAGCUAGGCCGGGUAAGUGAUGAAGGCGGGAGGGAAGUAAAGCAGUUUUACCCGGGAUGAUAAUGACAGUACCGGGAGAAUAAGCACCGGCUAACUCCGUG
rnacentral:rRNA from 1 species